GACGAACGCUGGCGGCGUGCUUAACACAUGCAAGUCGAACGGAAAGGCCCUGCGUGUGUGGGGUGCUCGAGUGGCGGAGGGGAAAGUAACAGGAACGUAACCAGACCUUGCCUUUGGGAUAACUUCAGGAAACGGGGGCGAAUACCGGAUAGGAACUCGUGCUGAAUGGUGGGGGGUGGAAAGAUUCGGCGGUUGGGGAUGGACUCGCGGCUUAUCAGCUUGUUGGGGGGGUGGUGGCUUACCACGGCUUUGAGGGGUAGCCGGACUGAGAGGGUGACCGGCCACAUUGGGACUGGGGUAGGGGCCAGACUGAUACGGGAGGCAGGAGUGGGGGAUAUUGGACGAUGGGCGGAAGGCUGAUGCAGCAACGCCGCGUGCGGGAUCACGGCCUUCCGGGUGUAAACCGCUUUCGCCUGUGACGAAGCGUGAGUGACGGUAACGGGUAAAGAAGCCCCGGCUAACUACGUG
rnacentral:rRNA from 1 species